UUGGCUUGGGUUUAAAUGUGGCAUCAUUCUAAAUACAGGAUGUGACCAUCUCUGCCAGGAAGUAGUCAGAGGUAGCACACUCUGACAGGUCAUGUGUUUGAAGGGAGCUCAGUAAUUCGAUUUCAGCCAGAACUGUAGUAGCAUUACAAAGACAGACAGACAGACAGACACCAUAUCAAGGCUACCCUCUGUGCCUAGUCAUAUAGUUAUGAAGUCAGCCAUUAUGAUGUCUCUACUGCCAGGAGAGAGAGGUAAUCUCUCAGGACAUAGCGUGUCAUUUCCAAUGCUUUUCUCAUCCUUUCAAUAUUCUUAUGUCUCUACCCACUGCAGGCGAGUUUGUACCGAGGUGGCUACAGCCGAUUUGCCCCCUACUGAAGUGACGUGAGACCCCUGCAAAUGGGACAGCCCCCAGUUCAUGAGGCCUGGCUAUUGCAAUAUUUACUAGUAGAGGACUCUAUAGCAAGAUGAAGAGGAAAACAAACAAAAAAGAGAGAAUACUUUUUAUACCUCACUGUGUUCUUUGAAUAUGUAUUUUUCCUUUAAAUUUCUGCCUUUAAUUCUUUUGUUCCAAAGAUUGUGCUUUUUUUGGUUUUGUUUUUGUUUUUGAAUUUUUGUUUUUGUUUGGAGGGGGGG
rnacentral:lncRNA from 1 species